rnacentral:lncRNA from 1 species
AUGUAUUUUUGUUUUAUUGACUAUGCCAAAGCCUUUGACUGUGUGGAUCACAAUAAACUGUGGAAAAUUCUGAAAGAAAUGAGAAUACCAGACCACCUGACCUGCCUCAUGAGAAACCUGUAUGCAGGUCAGGAAGCAACAGUUAGAACUGGACAUGGAACAACAGACUGGUUCCAAAUUGGGAAAGGAGUACGUCAAGGCUGUAUAUUGUCACCCUGCUUAUUUAACUUAUGUGCAGAGUACAUCAUGAGAAAUGCUGGGCUGGAAGAAGCACAAGCUGGAAUCAAGAUUGCUGGGAGAAAUAUCAAUAACCUCAGAUAUGCAGAUGACACCACCCUUAUGGCAGAAAGUGAAGAGGAACUAAAAAGCCUCUUGUUGAAAGUGAAAGUGGAGAGUGAAAAAGUUGGCUUAAAGCUCAACAUUCAGAAAACGAAGAUCAUGGCAUCUGGUCCCAUCACUUCAUGGCAAAUAGAUGGGGAAACAGUGGAAACAGUGUCAGACUUUAUUUUUCUGGGCUCCAAAAUCACUGAAGAUGGUGAUUGCAGCCAUGAAAUUAAAAGACGCUUGCUCCUUGGAAGCAAAGUUAUGACCAACCAUACAUUUCCUUCUUCGGUGGAUCUUCCAGACCCAGGGAUCGAACCCGGAUCUCCUGCAUUCCAAGCAGAUGCUUUAACCUCUGAGCUACCAGGGAAGCCCAUGACCAACCUAGAUAGCAUAUUCAAAAGCAGAGACAUUACUUUGCCAACAAAGGUCCAUCUAGUCAAGGUUAUGGUUUUUCCAGUGGUCAUGUAUGGAUGUGAGAGCUGGACUAUAAAGAAAGCUGAGCACAGAAGAAUUGAUGCUUUUGAACUGUGGUGUUGGAGAAGACUCUUGAGAGUCCCUUGGACUGCAAGGAGAUCCAACCAGUCCAUCCUAAAGGAGAUCAGUCCUGAGUGUUCAUUGGAGGGACUGAUGUUGAAGCUGAAACUCCAAUACUUUGGCCACCUGAUGCAAACAGCUGACUCAUUUGAAAAAACCCUGAUGCUGGGAAAGAUUGAGGGCAGGAGGAGAAGGGGACGACAGAGGAUGAGAUAG